CUGAAUAGGGCGCAUAAGUAACAGGUCGUAGACCCGAAACCAGGUGAUCUACCCAUGUCCAGGAUGAAGGUAAGGUAAUACUUACUGGAGGUCCGAACCCACGCACGUUGAAAAGUGCGGGGAUGAGGUGUGGGUAGCGGAGAAAUUCCAAUCGAACUUGGAGAUAGCUGGUUCUCUCCGAAAUAGCUUUAGGGCUAGCCUCGAGGUAAAGAGUCAUGGAGGUAGAGCACUGUUUGGACUAGGGGCCCUUCUCGGGUUACCGAAUUCAGAUAAACUCCGAAUGCCAUGUACUUAUACUCGGGAGUCAGACUGCGAGUGAUAAGAUCCGUAGUCGAAAGGGAAACAGCCCAGACCACCAGUUAAGGUCCCCAAAUAUAUGUUAAGUGGAAAAGGAUGUGGGGUUGCUUAGACAACCAGGAUGUUGGCUUAGAAGCAGCCACCAUUGAAAGAGUGCGUAAUAGCUCACUGGUCGAGUGACCCCGCGCCGAAAAUGUACCGGGGCUAAACAUAUUACCGAAACUGUGGAUGAACCUCUUUAGAGGUUCGUGGUAGGAGAGCGUUCUAAGGGCGGUGAAGUCAGACCGGAAGGACUGGUGGAGCGCUUAGAAGUGAGAAUGCCGGUAUGAGUAGCGAAAGAAGGGUGAGAAUCCCUUCCACCGAAUAUCUAAGGUUUCCUGAGGAAGGCUCGUCCGCUCAGGGUUAGUCGGGACCUAAGCCGAGGCCGAUAGGCGUAGGCGAUGGACAACAGGUAGAGAUUCCUGUACCAGUGCUAAUUGUUUAACCGAUGGGGUGACACAGAAGGAUAGGGAAUCGCACGAAUGGAAAUGUGCGUCCAAGCAGUGAGUGUGAGAAGUAGGCAAAUCCGCUUCUCGCGAAGCAUGAGCUGUGAUGGGGAAGGAAAUUAAGUACGGAAGUUCCUGAUUUCACGCUGUCAAGAAAAGCCUCUAGGAAGAGUAGUACUGCCCGUACCGCAAACCGACACAGGUAGAUGAGGAGAGAAUCCUAAGGUGAGCGAGAGAACUCUCGUUAAGGAACUCGGCAAAAUGACCCCGUAACUUCGGGAGAAGGGGUGCUCUAUUAGGGUGCAAGCCCGAGAGAGCCGCAGUGAAUAGGCCCAGGCGACUGUUUAGCAAAAACACAGGUCUCUGCAAAACCGUAAGGUGACGUAUAGGGGCUGACGCCUGCCCGGUGCUGGAAGGUUAAGAGGAGUGCUUAGCUUCGGCGAAGGUACGAAUUGAAGCCCCAGUAAACGGCGGCCGUAACUAUAACGGUCCUAAGGUAGCGAAAUUCCUUGUCGGGUAAGUUCCGACCCGCACGAAAGGCGCAACGAUCUGGGCACUGUCUCAACGAGAGACUCGGUGAAAUUAUAGUACCUGUGAAGAUGCAGGUUACCCGCGACAGGACGGAAAGACCCCGUGGAGCUUUACUGCAACCUGAUAUGGAAUGUUUGUACCGCUUGUACAGGAUAGGUAGGAGCCGAAGAGACGUGUGCGCUAGCAUACGAGGAGGCAAUGGUGGGAUACUACCCUGGCUGUAUGACCAUUCUAACCCGCCACGCUUAGCGCGUGGGGAGACAGUGUCAGGUGGGCAGUUUGACUGGGGCGGUCGCCUCCUAAAGAGUAACGGAGGCGCCCAAAGGUUCCCUCAGAAUGGAUGGAAAUCAUUCGCAGAGUGUAAAGGCACAAGGGAGCUUGACUGCGAGACUGACAAGUCGAGCAGGGACGAAAGUCGGGCUUAGUGAUCCGGUGGUUCCGCAUGGAAGGGCCAUCGCUCAACGGAUAAAAGCUACCCCGGGGAUAACAGGCUUAUCUCCCCCAAGAGUCCACAUCGACGGGGAGGUUUGGCACCUCGAUGUCGGCUCGUCGCAUCCUGGGGCUGUAGUCGGUCCCAAGGGUUGGGCUGUUCGCCCAUUAAAGCGGCACGCGAGCUGGGUUCAGAACGUCGUGAGACAGUUCGGUCCCUAUCCGUCGCGGGCGCAGGAAAUUUGAGAGGAGCUGUCCUUAGUACGAGAGGACCGGGAUGGACACACCGCUGGUGUACCAGUUGUUCCGCCAGGAGCAUCGCUGGGUAGCUAUGUGUGGCAGGGAUAAACGCUGAAAGCAUCUAAGCGUGAAGCCCCCCUCAAGAUGAGAUUUCCCAUUUCUUCGGAAAGUAAGAUCCCUGAAAGAUGAUCAGGUAGAU
rnacentral:rRNA from 1 species